AGUUUGAUCCUGGCUCAGAUUGAACGCUGGCGGCAUGCCUUACACAUGCAAGUCGAACGGUAACAGGUCUUCGGAUGCUGACGAGUGGCGAACGGGUGAGUAAUACAUCGGAACGUGCCCGAUCGUGGGGGAUAACGAAGCGAAAGCUUUGCUAAUACCGCAUAAGAUCUACGGAUGAAAGCAGGGGACCGCAAGGCCUUGCGCGAACGGAGCGGCCGAUGGCAGAUUAGGUAGUUGGUGGGAUAAAAGCUUACCAAGCCGACGAUCUGUAGCUGGUCUGAGAGGACGACCAGCCACACUGGGACUGAGACACGGCCCAGACUCCUACGGGAGGCAGCAGUGGGGAAUUUUGGACAAUGGGCGAAAGCCUGAUCCAGCCAUGCCGCGUGCAGGAUGAAGGCCUUCGGGUUGUAAACUGC
rnacentral:rRNA from 1 species